rnacentral:rRNA from 1 species
UACGGGGGGUGCAAGCGUUGUUCGGAAUUAUUGGGCGUAAAGAGCGUGUAGGCGGCCUGAUGUGUCAGAUGUGAAAGCCCUGGGCUUAACCCAGGAAGUGCAUUUGAAACUGUCAGGCUCGAGUAGGGGAGAGGGAAGUGGAAUUCCUGGUGUAGAGGUGAAAUUCGUAGAUAUCAGGAGGAACACCGGUGGCGAAGGCGACUUCCUGGCCCUAUACUGACGCUGAGACGCGAGAGCGUGGGUAGCAAACAGG